rnacentral:rRNA from 1 species
GUGCCAGCCGCCGCGGUAAUACGGAAGAUGCGGGCGUUAUCCGGAUUUAUUGGGUUUAAAGGGAGCGUAGGCGGGCUUUUAAGCCAGCGGUUAAAUGUCAUGGCCCAACCUUGGCAUGCCGUUGGAACUGGGAGUCUUGAAUGCGGUCAAGGGAGGCGGAACUCGCCAUGUAGCGGUGAAAUGCUUAGAUAUGGCGAAGAACCCCGAUUGCGAAGGCAGCCUCCUGGCCCGUGAUUGACGCUGAGGCUCGAAAGCGCGGGUAUCGAACAGGAUUAGAUACCCUGGUAGUCCGCGCUGUAAACGAUGGAUACUCGUUUUUGGCGAUAUACGGUCAGAAACUGAGCGAAAGCAUUAAGUAUCCCACCUGGGGAGUACGCCGGCAACGUGAAACUCAAAGGAAUUGACGGGGGCCCGCACAAGCGGAGGAACAUGUGGUUUAAUUCGAUGAUACGCGAGGAACCUUACCCGGAUUUGAAUUGUGCGCGACAGGAGCGGAGAAGCUCUUUCCCUUCGGGGCGCGUAUGAAGGUGCUGCAUGGUUGUCGUCACUCGUGCCGUGAGGUGUCGGCUUAAGUGCCAUAACGAGCGCAACCCCUGCCGCCAGUUGCCAUCAGGUUAUGCUGGGCACUCUGGCGGGACUGCCAUCGCAAGAUGCGAGGAGGGUGGGGAUGACGUCAAAUCAGCACGGCCCUUACGUCCGGGGCUACACACGUGUUACAAUGGGGGGCACAGCGAGCAGCUUGCCGGCGACGGUUGGCCAAUCUUGAAAUCCCCUCUCAAGUUCGGACUGGAGUCUGCAACCCGACUCCACGAAGCUGGAUUCGCUAGUAAUCGCGCAUCAGCCAUGGCGCGGUGAAUACGUUCCCGGGCCUUGUACACACCGCCCGU